rnacentral:rRNA from 1 species
GACGAACCGUGCGAACGUUAUUCGGAAUCACUGGGCUUAAAGGGCGCGUAGGCGGGCCGAAAAGCCAGGGGUGAAAUCCUCCAGCCCAACUGGAGAAGCGCCUUUGGAACUGGCGGCCUCGAGGGGUGCAGGGGCAUGCGGAACUCAGGGUGGAGCGGUGAAAUGCGUAGAUAUCCUGAGGAACACCGGUGGCGAAAGCGGCGUGCUGGACACCUUCUAACGCUGAGGCGCGAAAGCCAGGGGAGCGAACGGG